AUUGAACGCUGGCGGCAGGCCUAACACAUGCAAGUCGAGCGGAUGAGUGGAGCUUGCUCCAUGAUUCAGCGGCGGACGGGUGAGUAAUGCCUAGGAAUCUGCCUGGUAGUGGGGGACAACGUUUCGAAAGGAACGCUAAUACCGCAUACGUCCUACGGGAGAAAGUGGGGGAUCUUCGGACCUCACGCUAUCAGAUGAGCCUAGGUCGGAUUAGCUAGUUGGUGAGGUAAAGGCUCACCAAGGCGACGAUCCGUAACUGGUCUGAGAGGAUGGUCAGUCACACUGGAACUUAGACACGGUCCAGACUUCUACGGGAGGCAGCAGUGGGGAAUAUUGGACAAUGGGCGAAAGCCUGAUCCAGCCAUGCCGCGUGUGUGAAGAAGGUCUUCGGAUUGUAAAGCACUUUAAGUUGGGAGGAAGGGCAGUAAGUUAAUACCUUGCUGUUUUGACGUUACCAACAGAAUAAGCACCGGCUAACUUCGUGCCAGCCGCCGCGGUAACAC
rnacentral:rRNA from 1 species